AUUGAACGCUGGCGGCAUGCUUUACACAUGCAAGUCGAACGGUAACAGGCCGCAAGGUGCUGACGAGUGGCGAACGGGUGAGUAAUGCAUCGGAACGUGCCCAGUCGUGGGGGAUAACGCAGCGAAAGCUGCGCUAAUACCGCAUACGAUCUCUGGAUGAAAGCGGGGGACCGAAAGGCCUCGCGCGAUUGGAGCGGCCGAUCUCAGAUUAGGUAGUUGGUGGGGUAAAGGCCCACCAAGCCAACGAUCUGUAGCUGGUCUGAGAGGACGACCAGCCACCAUGGAACUGGGACCCGGUCCAGAUUCCUACGGGAGGCAGCAGUGGGGAAUGUUGGACAAUGUGCGAAAGCCUGAUCCAGCCAUUCCGAGUGCAGGAUGAAGGGCCUCGGGUUGUAAACUGCUUUUGUACAGAACGAAAAGGUUUCUACUAAUACUUGGAGCUCAUGACGGUACUGUAAGAAUAAGCACCGGCUAACUACGUGCCAGCCGCCGCCGUAACAC
rnacentral:rRNA from 1 species